GGAUGGUUGCUCACAAGGAUCAGUGUGUGUGGAUGGCGAGGCUUCAACUGCCCAGUGAAGGUCAGCAGAAUCUGGUUGGCUUAUAAAGGAAGAAGAGGGGCUCAUGCUAUGCAGCCAACUGCCAUAUUGAAUAGCCCUGUGGAGAGGUCCACAUGGUGAGGAACUGAAAACUCCUGACAACAGCCAGCAAGAGUCUGGGGUGUCGACCAAGAGCUAUAUGAGUGAACUAUCCUAGAAUUCCUGAUCCUGAGAAACUGUGAGAUAAAUAUUCGCUGUUUUAUGCCGCUGAGUUUUGAGAUACUUUGCUACACAGCAAUGGAUAACUAACAUGGACAGUAAUCUACAUGAAAAAAUGAGGAAGGUCUGAGACUCAGAUGGUGAUCUUGGACAUAAAGAAGGAGAAUACAUGUUGCAGAUAUUAUAAACCUAGAAGUUGUAGAACUUUGAGAUAGAUUGGAAAUGAGCCUGAAGGAGGGAGAGAUUCUGAUGUUUUGGAUUUGAGCUUAAUGUAUGAUGCCACUUUUCAUCAACACUGAAAAUUCAGACAAAAAACAGUUAGGUUUUGGGGGAAGAAAACAAAUUUGGGAUUUAGUAUAUGGCAUCUCUCUAGAGAUGCCCCUUGAACAGUCUGAAAUGUGUCUGAAGACAGAGAUUUGGAUGUUAUCAGAGAAGUAAAUGGUGGUUGAAGACUUAGGUGAAGAAAAUGAGAUUGCCUGAGCUGGCAGGUGUGCGUGUGUGUUUGUGUGCGCGCACGCGUGUGUGUGUGCGUGUGUGUGUGUGUGUGUAAAAGAGAACAGGCAUUUUUGGAAUCACUCAGGUAGCUUUCAAUGGUGGUUGAAGACUUAGGUGAAGAAAAUGAGAUUGCCUGAGCUGGCAGAUGUGCGUGUGUGUGUGUGUGUGUGUGUGUGUGUGUGUAAAAGAGAACAGGCAUUUUUGGAAUCACUCAGGUAGCUUUCAAAAGGAAGAGUUGCACCACCACUGCUCACCUUGGCUCCUACCCCAUCCCACAUACUUCAACUGUCUGGUGGGGUGGGGGCCUAGGACCUGAGAAAUGAUGGGGGAUUCUGUGGGACUCACAGAGCAGACUUUGGUCCCAUGGAAAAUAUUGCCAUCCCCCAUGCCCAGGGGUCCUGUUGUCUCUGCAGAGCCAGCACACCUCUACUUGGCUCUGGCUGGGUCUUCAGAGGACUCAUUCAGCUUCAGCCUCCUGGGAAAAUAAAGCUUUCAGCAAGCAAUACAGAAUUGAGAGUUAGUGAGAACAUGGGAGCUAAAGUAAAUCGGCCCCAGAGGGAUAUGACAGCUCAUGUGAGACAAAGUGCAGAAAGAAAGGAAAUGAGUUAGACAGUUAUUCAGAGGUUAAAAAAAAUCCCGGGCUGACUAUGGUUUUGACAAAAAUGUUGAAUAAAUGUGGCUUCCCAUCCUGUCUCCCUUACAAAAUCCUGAAGGACUUGGAGAAAGUGAAAAACCCCUGGGGUGGUGGGGGCUAUUUUAAACUGGUGCGUGUGUGGGUGGUGCUGUGGAUGCCGUGAUGUGCCACCCAGCUCCCCGUUCAGGAAGGAAGGACUUAUACCCCCCAACUGUUGGGAGUGCUGCCAGCUGGCAGACUUCAGCUGUUAGCUUUCUCUGAGAACUGCCUUGUCAAGGUCAUGCCCACUUUCUGGGGCAGCUUUAUUCAGUGAUUGGACAGUGUGUGGGUAUAAAGGCCUGGCAUGCUUGGUCUAACUCUGGACAACUUUGAAGGGCUGUCCCAGCUCCAGAGCUUCCUGUGAAGUUGGUUGAAGUCUUCUUUGGCUCAACUGUUGGAGCC
rnacentral:lncRNA from 1 species